rnacentral:rRNA from 1 species
UACGUAGGGGGCAAGCGUUAUCCGGAUUUACUGGGUGUAAAGGGAGCGCAGGCGGCGUGGCAAGUCAGAUGUGAAAACCCGGGGCCCAACCCCGGGAGUGCAUUUGAAACUGCCAUGCUGGAGUGCCGGAGAGGUAAGCGGAAUUCCUAGCGUAGCGGUGAAAUGCGUAGAUAUUAGGAGGAACACCAGUGGCGAAGGCGGGUUCCUGGACAUUAACUGACGCUGAGGCACGAAGGCCAGGGGAGCGAAAGGG